AGGUCGGAAGUGGACAGAGAGAGAGGGAGCGGAGAAAGGCGUUGGUCGUGGGAGAUCCCGUGUCGUGGUGUCGUGGUGUGCGGCGGCGGCGGCGAGCGGUACAGACUGAGGCUGCUUAUGCACCUGGACGGCCAGAGCCUGCUCCUUCUCCUACUCACCCUCCUACCUCUGCUUCGACUCCUCCUCCUUCACGUCCCUUCGAGAUUCUUCUUCCGGUUCGUCGUGCAGCUGGUUGAGUUCUCCGACGUCCUUUUCCUAGGGCUCAAGAAAUUUAUAAACCUUCUCACACUAUUUCUCGAGAACCUUAAGUUACUACUACUGUAACGACUACUAGUUCUUUCACUGCUCCUUGGAUUUAGACAGGGAUUCCUCCUCGGUUUUCUUUCACAAUUUGGUUAAUGCUACCUUUACCAACUAAGGACCACGUUUCCCCGGCUUCUACCCUUCUAUCCUAGAUAGUCCAGAUAAGAAGUUCGGAAGUCCUCUCGAACGGUAAUACCGCUCCUGUCACCCCUGUUAAGUCGUGGUUUUAAGUCACAGUACAGGCCAUCACAUGAGCUGUUUCAGUACGUGAUGCAAAACUUCUUGUACCUAUCGUAGGAAGCGGUUAAUGAGCCACGGGGAUCGAGACCUCCCUUCUUUCUCUUUUAGUCACUCGACUACUACUGAUUAAGUACCUUCUCCUUACCGUUAGAUUACUCCCACAUAGAACAGUUACGUGAGGUAUACUAUUGGCUCUACUGACUACUGGUUUACUAGCGUAAAUGAUAAGAGGCACAGUCUCGUAGUCGACAAAAAGACCGUCGGAAGGGAAGAGAGGAAUCCUUCAUACAAUUCUGGGACAACAUAUGGACCCGAUCUCCAGCUCCACGGUACGGGAAAUAAAGCAAAAACAAGGAGGCUCUGAACACACAAGUUCAUCCAGGCCUAACGGAACUGUGUACGGAGUUCCCAUAGAUGUUCCGAAUAAACCACUUGACGUUCAACAGGUUCAGAUAGUCGCCUAGCUUUGACGUCGUGUAAGUUAAAGAACCCUUAACACAGUUUCUUAACAUAUAGAACCUGGGAGUUUCACGAAUAGUUGUACGAAAACAAAAGUAAGCAGUCAACCGUCAAUAGGAUUCUCCACGAGAAUGGCUUUCUCCUGGUUUCUGUAGUUUCCUGUUUUUCGUCUUUCUUUCUUUGUUUGGUUGCUUGUUUGUCGACCUCCACAACACACACCUACAUCAAGACUCCUUUUAAAGGCCGGAAACCGGAUAGGCAAUUGGGUCUAUUAUGUGCCACAUCGUACAGAACAUGGCUCACGUGCAAUGAAGGGACAUGCGUAAUCUACACAUUUCUACGAAUUAACGUAACGGCUUCGGUGGCCAUGGAAAUAAGGCCACAGGAGAGACAACGAACUAUACGAUCUUUACUUUCUUGAAUCUCCGGCAGGUCUACCACCACAACCGUUUCGUCACUUAUACAAGUUACAAUUUGUCCAUCUAUUCUUUUACCACUUCUGUGCACGGAAAGUCCUUCGAACGUAAAUGAGACACCAACUACUCGACCGAUUCGUAAACCGCGUCACCUCGAUGAGACAACGGAAGUAGCUCUACAGGAAAAACGGUGAACAAGUUGAAGCCUUGAAAACGUUUUGGUAGUUCCGACUGUCUAAAGCUUUUCUCUACUUCCUAGAAUAAGUAGUCCAUCUCCGUUUACAACUCAAGUACUCGCGUUUCGCACGGACUUAAUGUAAGGGGGGGUUACUAGGUCGACAUCUAAGUAAAGAUGUCCGACUCUUCCUUCCCGCCAACUCGGGAGAGAGUUUUAUACAACGAUGAGAUGUAGUCUCUCGUUUCUUGUCUUAGCUAAGAUACCUACUCUGUUCACAAUAGCACCCACGUCUCAGGAGAUGGAAAAGCUUCUCCGAUACCCUCCGUGUCUUCGUUGUCCUCCUUGUACUACUAUCACUUCUUGGGUAACGAAAGUCAUUCUUGAACAACCGCCUCUUCUUCUUUUGUUUUCGACGUUUCCUCUUCUUGUUCUUUGCUCGGGCACUGCUGCUACUACACGGGCGCCUCCUCCUACACCAACUCCUAAACUAGAACUCAAGCCUGCUCCUUCGCCUUCUACUCUUGCUACCGGAACCGAGUCUGCUCCUACCGAGGCGCGGGCAACUUCUACUGUCGCUACUUCUGAAACACCUGGGUCUGUCGCGCACCCUCUUUGUCUUCCUCUUCGAUUUCUUUGCCUCGUUCAUGGUUGGCAGCUUGUUCCGUAGGAGUUUUUGGUUUUCCUUUGGGGUGGGAUUCUUCUUUCGGUUCGUAAUUAGUUCCAUCUCGAUCCCGAGCCGUUUCUGACAACUGCUGCACGAUACGAAAGUCAGUACUCUUUGUGGAGGGACAGUGCCCUUUAAAACAAACUCAACUCUUAAUGUGUCGAAGGAAACAGUAAAGGUACGUAAAUAUAGCUCCAAUAAGUAUAAGACGAGUCAAGUUGAAACG
rnacentral:rRNA from 1 species